rnacentral:tRNA from 1 species
GGGGCGUUAGCUCAGUCGGUUAGAGCACUGGACUCAUAAUCCAUCGGUCGCGGGUUCAAGUCCCGCACGCCCUACCA